AGGGUAGGCUCAUGAACCAAACCCCGGAUCAAGCCUAUGAAUUUCUUGUUGACUUAGCUGAAAAUGCCCAAAAUUGGAGUAGCUAUGGUGAGGAAGUAAUUAGAGAUGAGUUUGGGUCUAGAAAAUCAGGUAAUUAUGAAAUGAAAGCAGACCCAGAACUCAAAAAUGUCAUGUCCAAUCUGGUGGCUGGAAUGAACAACUUGAGUAAAAAGUUUGAUGCUUUCACUGUUUCCACUAGUUCGAGUUCAU
rnacentral:lncRNA from 1 species